rnacentral:rRNA from 1 species
UACAGAGGUCUCGAGCGUUAGGCGGAAUCACUGGGCUUAAAGCGUGUGUAGGUGGAUCGUUAAGUACCUUGUGAAAUCCCACGGCUUAACCGUGGAACUGCUUGGUAUACUGGCGGUCUUGAGCCAGCUAGGGGCUACCGGAACAAAUGGUGGAGCGGUGAAAUGCGUAGAUAUCAGGAGGAACACCGGUGGCGAAGGCGGGUCUCUGGGCCG